rnacentral:rRNA from 1 species
UACGAAGGGGCUAGCGUUGCUCGGAAUCACUGGGCGUAAAGCGCACGUAGGCGGCUUCUAAGUCAGGGGUGAAAUCCCGGAGCUCAACCUCCGGAACUGCCUUGAUACUGGAAGCUUGAGUUCGGAGAGGUGAGUGGAACUGCGAAGUGUAGAGGUGAAAUUCGUAGAUAUUCGCAAGAACACCAGUGGCGAAGGCGGCUCACUGGCCCGAUACUGACGCUGAGGUGCGAAAGCG